UACCAGCACCCCGAGUGGUCGGGACGUUUAUUGGGCCUAAAGCAUCCGUAGCCGGUUCUACAAGUCUUCCGUUAAAUCCAGCUGCUUAACAGAUGGGCUGCGGAAGAUACUAUGGAGCUAGGAGGCGGGAGAGGCAAGCGGUACUCGAUGGGUAGGGGUAAAAUCCGUUGAUCCAUUGAAGACCACCAGUGGCGAAGGCGGCUUGCCAGAACGCGCUCGACGGUGAGGGGAUGAAAGCUGGGGGGAGCAAACCGG
rnacentral:rRNA from 1 species